rnacentral:rRNA from 1 species
UACGGAGGGAGCUAGCGUUAUUCGGAAUUACUGGGCGUAAAGCGCACGUAGGCGGCUUUGUAAGUUAGAGGUGAAAGCCUGGAGCUCAACUCCAGAAUUGCCUUUAAGACUGCAUCGCUUGAAUCCAGGAGAGGUGAGUGGAAUUCCGAGUGUAGAGGUGAAAUUCGUAGAUAUUCGGAAGAACACCAGUGGCGAAGGCGGCUCACUGGACUGGUAUUGACGCGUGAGGUGCGAAAGCGUGGGGAGCAAA